AUGCUUGCAACCACAUCGACCCCCAGCCCCGGCCAACACCUCACCCCCCGGUCCUUGGCUCGCCAGCCACCACUUCGCUUGGCGGUCGCACACACUUCCCCCUUUGCCCCCAGCGCCGCCGGCCCUGGCCGCUUCUCCCGUCGCCACCGUACGACCACCGGUGGCGUGCAGAUAAGGCCUCUACUUCCUCUUCGUCAAGUCGGAGACCAAGAACCUGAGCGGGCUGACGGCGCGGCCAGUGCUCACCAGCUACAACAAGAACGAGCAGUUCAAGAACCGCCCCUACGACCCGUACCACAACUACACCAGCCCGACGGCGGCCAUCCUUUCCGCGGACGCCUUCCAAAGCAUGUACGCGCAGAUGGUGUGCGGCCUGUGCCAGCGCCACAAGGUGCUCCGCGUCAGCGCCGUGUUCGCCUCUGGCCUCCAGCGCACGAUUCGCUUCCUCCAACUCAACUGGAAGGAGCUCCCCGCCGACAUCGAGGCCGCCGCGCUCAGCCAUGCGUCACUAACGCGUCCGUGCGCGAGGCGGUCGCAGGCAUCCUCCGGCUGGACCUCGAGCUCGCCCAGUUCAUCCGGGACGAGUGCUGCAAUGACGAAUGGGCCGGCAUCAUUAGGCGCAUUUGGCCCAACACCAAGUACCUCGACGUCAUCGUCACCGGCGCCAUGGCGUAG
rnacentral:rRNA from 1 species